AAAUGUAUAAGAGUAUUUACUUCUAUCAAAGAUAAAUUAAUAAACCACAUGCGUUAACUUAAAUUAACAAUAUAUCAUUAAUAAACAGUAAAAAAAAAAAAAAAAAAAAAAAAAAAAAAAAAAAAACAAUAGAAUAUUAGAAAAUACUUAGUAUAGUAUAGUAGUUUAGAACUAAUUAUGCAUAUUGGACUCCCACAGAACGUAUAAUUACUACUUCCAAAUGUAUAAAUGAAAAGGAAAUGAAUCUAAGACUGCGAAAAUAAAUAAAUAUGUAUUUUUUGAAUUACUGAUACGUACGAGAAACUAUGGUAUAUUCAGAUAUAUAAUUCACAAUGGUAUAUUCGGAGUUUAAUUUUAAAACCUAUCAAACUCUAUAGCAAUCUAAAAUUAAAUUAAAUUAAAUUAAAAAACUUUUUUAAUAUAAUUUUACUCUGAAAAUUGUACAAUAAAAUUUAAGUGAUACAAAUAAAUACAAUUUAUAUAAAAAAGUACAUUUAUACACGAGUAAAAAUAAUUCAAUAGAACGUAUAAAGUUUCAGAUGUAUUAAAAAGUUAAAUCUUACAUUAUAGACAAAAACGUAUGUUUUAAGACUAUACACUGUAACAAUAGCCACUAUGACGGUACAAAAAAAAUUAAAAAUAAAUAUCUACAAUCUACACGAGAGUACAUAGAAUUCCUCAAUUUGGCCCUUAUGUCAUUCUAAAGUUAAUACUUUAAUAAUUAAAUAUAGUUGAUAACAAUGGUUUAAUACUUUCUUAAACCCAGAUCUAAUAAGAUCUAAUUUUAAAAAAAAAUAUCACUAAGCUUAUAUAAAUACAAAUAAAAACAAUUAAAAUAAAACAAAUUACACUUAUUCAAGAGUACAAAGAAUUCAAUAGAGUAAAUAAGGUUUCAAACAUAAUAAACAGUUAAAAUCUUACAUACUAGGUAACAACUUAUAUCUAAAGACUUAUACACUACUCGUGAGACCACUGUAACAAUGGCCGCUAUGAUGGUAUAAGAAAAAUUAAAAAUAAACAUCUACCGUCUACACGGGAGUGGAUAGCGAUUCUCUCAGUAGGUCCUUAUUUAGUUCUAAAUUUAAUAUUAAGAUCUAAUUUUUUAUUAUUAAGAAAUAAAUAUCAAAAAUGUACAUAAAGAAAAAACACCAAAUAAAUUACACGAUUAUCUAUAUCUUUUAAGCUAAUAGCUUGUAUUAGAGAUAGAGACUAAUACAAUAUAAUAAUAACUAUUUAUGAAUAACAUUUUAAAAGAUUUACGUUAUAUUAUUUAGAUAAUUUAUUAUUUUAUUAUUAAUAUUUAGAAAAUAAAUUUGCGAACAUGAAAAAUGAAAAAUAUUUAAUUAGGAUUAAAAUAUUAGGUAUCUGCUAAAAUAAAUAAAAUAUGAUUGGUUGAUAUAGUUUUCGUAAAUAAAAUCCUAAUUUGGUCUCCAUUUAUAAAAAUUCAACACGCCUGUUGUUUUAUUUCUCGUGAAUUUUUAAUUAUUGAAUUAUGUUUGAAAAUUAAUUUAUGUGAACUCCUAACAAGUUAGGUUAUAUUAAAUAUCUGUAAGAUAUACAAUUUUUAUUUAAGUGUCAUAGCCCCCAUUUUUUAUUUUUGCUAUUCAAAAACUGGGGAAAUAAAAUACUUACAAGUGUUAAAAAAUAAUAAUAAUUAUAGGUAACUAAAAAAUAUAGACAAUAUUUAUUUGGACGUGUGAAAUGUAAACAUGAAUAGUAUAAGGUAUAGGGUAAUUCGGCGUAUAGGGAUAUUUGGAAAUAUAUAUCAAAACCAAAUUCUAAAGCAUUUUCAUAUAGAAUUUUAAUUUCAGAAAAAUAUUAGCUGCAUUGUUAAUGAAAAUAAGUAUAACUUAUAAUGUAACAUAAUAUUAAAAACUUACAUCUAGAGACUAUACAACAUACGCGAGCCCACUUAAAUGGCCACUAUAAUGGUAUAAAUACCGUUUCCACGAGUGUGUAUAGUUUAAUAAUUAAAUUAAUAGUAAUAGUUUAAUUACAUUAAUACUAAUGCAAUUGCGUGUCCUUAUCUCAUCCUAAAAUUAAUAUUAAAUAAUUUUAUACUAAAAUAAAUAAAUUUAAUUAGUAAGGUCUAAAUUAAAAAAAAAAUAAAAAAAAAAAAAAAAAUAUGGUACCUUGAUAAAGGAGAAAUAAAUAAUUUACUUAAAUUAUAAUUUAUUAUUAUAGUUAAGUUAGAAUAGGCUUUUAAUUUAAUAACCUAUGUUUUAAGGUAUGUAUAGUUAUAACUAAAAGGCGCUCACGUGCAAACACGUACAGUGUACAAUUGUUAUUUUAAAAGUAAUUCAAAUAAGUCUCAAUUUCAGAAUGUUCAACACACGUAAAAUAAUAUAUAUAAAAAUGCCGUUAAAGUAAAGAAUGUACACUUAUACAUGAAUAAAAUCAAUUUAAUAGAAAAAUAAAGUUUCAGAUGUAAUAAAUAGUUAACAUCUUAAAUACUAGGUAAUAACUUAUAUCUAGAGACUAUACAUCACCCGCGAGCCCACUGUCACAAUGGCCGCUAUGACGGUAUACAAAUAAUCAAAAAUAUCUACCGUCUCCACGGGAGUGUAUAGUUGUUAUUCAAUGGGUCCUUAUCUCGUCAUAAACUUAAUAUUAAGAAAGUUAAAUUUAACUUACAAAUUAAUGAUAAAUUUUAUUAGGUAGAUUUACUUUUAAAAAAUUUAAAUUUACUCUCGUAGUCAAGGAAAAAUAAAUAUUUAACCUAGUUAAUUUUAUAUUAAAAUAUUUUUUUUUUUAAACUACAAUUUUAUAUUUUAACACAUGUAUUAAUUUGUACACUAUUUAUAACUAAAAUGUGACUUGUAAAAAAAGUAGCUAUGAUAUCGGUUUUUACGAGGUCAAAUAAUAUCCAUUUCAAUAGCGGUCUAUAAAUCAACUAAUUAAUCGUACUAUAUGCUUAUUAACUUAUUUGCAAUAAUACUAGAUUUAUGAUCAAAUUAAAAAUAUUUGUAUUUUUAUGUGUUUUUAAAAGCAGAUGAAAAUUAGACAUUUUGCAAAUUGAAUCCCUUCCUGAGGUGUCAUCAGAACGCAUGAAAUCUGUGCAACUACGUAGGUUUGUUCGAUAUUUUAAUUUUUAAGCGAUUCGAGCAUCAAAAUACUGAAAUAUUUCAUAUAUGCAUAAUUUACUUAACAAUUAAAGUAGGUAUCGAAGACAAUCGGUAUAGAUCUACAGAUAAUUUUCUUAUCCUUAAAUUUGUAAAUUAGUCAAUUCACGCUAAUAUUAAAACGAACAGCAUAAUAAUAUUUUUGAUAAAUAAAAAUACGAGAAAUACUUUUGUGCAAGUAGAUGGGGUGUCAUUUAAAGUAUAUAACUUGAAAUAAUGUAAUCUAAACGUGUUGCUCAAUAUAAUAAAUAAUAACGAUUACUGUAAUUUUAAUGUCAGUUUAUAAUAA